rnacentral:lncRNA from 1 species
GUGCUUUGUGGUGGUGAAAUAUGUGUGGGAUGGGUGGGGACCAUGGAAAUAGAGUGAAAGGUUGCGAUGGCAUUAGUUUGUAGCAUGCGGUGUAGUUGGUGGGCAGAAGCUUGUGUUAGGGUGUUAGGUUUAGAACCAGUGAUGGUGAGGAGAGCAUCAUUGUGAUAAAACUACAUAGAAGGAACACUAAAAUCAGAGACAAAUGGCCUAAAGUUUGCAACCAUUGAACCCCAAGAACCACAUCAGCCCCUUGGAUAGGAAGAACGUAAAGGGAAACCGUGAAAAGAUGU